rnacentral:lncRNA from 1 species
AUGAAAACACCGACCAUCUACGACAAGGUGCAGAGCAGUGAUGUCACAGAACCGAGGAUAGUCUCAUACCAUAUGGAGUCUGGAGAGCGGCUGUCCACCCCAUCGUCAGCCCCAUCCUCCCUUCACAUGGCCUCCUCUUCAGGCAGCUCCUCCCCUGCGCCACCCCAGACACCCUCGACCAGAUGCAGCCCAGCCCCUAACCCUGCAGGCAGUUCCCCUCUCACCACUUGUGGUAUGUACACACACCGAAAAACUUCUCUUCAGAGCUAAUUAAAUGUACAAAUAGUUGCUAUUUUAUUUCUAUGUCAGUAUGUUGUAUUAAUCUGGCCAAAU